AGUGAACGCUGGCGGUAGGCCUAACACAUGCAAGUCGAACGGCAGCACAGUAAGAGCUUGCUCUUACGGGUGGCGAGUGGCGGACGGGUGCGGAAUACAUCCGAAUCUACUUUUUCGUGGGGGAUAACGUAUGGCAACUUACGCUAAUACCUCAUACGACCUACGGGUUAAAGCAGGGGAUCUUCGGACCUUGCGCGAUUGAAUGAUCCGAUGUCGGAUUAGCUAGUUGGCGGGGUAAAGGCCCACCAAGGCGACGAUCCGUAGCUGGUCUGAGAGGAUGAUCAGCCACACUGGAACUGAGACACGGUCCAGACUCCUACGGGAGGCAGCAGUAGGGAAUAUUGGACAAUGGGCGAAAGCCUGAUCCAGCCAUACCGCGUAGGUGAAGAAGGCCUUCGGGUUGUAAAGCCCUUUUGUUGGGAAAGAAAAGCAGCAGGUUAAUACCCCGCUGUUCUGACGGUACCCAAAGAAUAAGCACCGGCUAACUUCGUG
rnacentral:rRNA from 1 species